CCUACGGGAGGCAGCAGUCGAGAAUCAUUCACAAUGGGGGAAACCCUGAUGGUGCGACGCCGCGUGGGGGAAUGAAGGUCUUCGGAUUGUAAACCCCUUUCAUGUGGGAGCAAAUUAAAAAGAUAGUACCACAAGAGGAAGAGACGGCUAACUCUGUGCCAGCAGCCGCGGUAAUACAGAGGUCUCCAGCGUUGUUGGGAAUCACUGGGCGGAAAGGGUGCGUAGGCUGUUUCGUAAGUCGGGUGUGAAAGGCGCGGGCUCAACCCGCGGACGGCACAGGAUGCUGCGCGACUAGAGUGAAGGAGAGGGAAGCGGAAUGCUCGGUGUAGCAGUGAAAUGCGUAGAUA
rnacentral:rRNA from 1 species